rnacentral:rRNA from 1 species
AUGGAAGAUGCCGUCAUGGGGGAAGGCGACGAGGCAGGCGGCGCGGGGCUUGGGGUCGGCCUUGAGGACUGGGCGGACGAUGACGAUGUCGAAGUCAUUCCGCACCGCCAGCCGGCGCUUGAUCAUCAAGGCGCGGGCCCGUCUGCCGCGCCGGCUGCUCGUGGCGGCACGCAGAAAUGUCGGGCCGCGUCGACCUACUUCGGCAGCCGGCCGAAGAAAUCCAAGGGUUCCACGGCGGCGACCAAGCGGGAUGAGGCGACCGUGAAGGCGGCCCGCUUCCGCAAGGCGGUGAAACAGCCGCAGGCGACCUCGGCGUAA